GAGAGAGAGAGAGAGAGAGAGAGAGAACAGCCCUGGAAAUUUGUGGGUCGCCGAAUCAUCCACCCAGACUGUGUCCUCAGUGCUCAAGCUUCUCACAUGUGUCAAGUUUUCUCCCCGACCCUUCCUUCUGCCGACUUGCUGAGGGAGGGAGGUGACCAGGGAAGGCUUGGGAGGUGUCCAGGCCACGUGCCCUGCUGGACUCUGACUUGGUUCCCUCCUGCCGGCUUCCCUGAGGGUUCCUGCAGGACCAGCCAUGGCGUGUGCUGCAGUGGAGGGCCGGGCAGCAGAAUGAGUGAGCAGUAGCAGCAGCAGCAGCGUGUGCUGCAGUGUAGGGCCGGGCAGCAGAAUGAGUGAGCAGCAGCAGCAGCAGCAGUCUGCCUCAGGUGUGGGGAGGUGCAGGCGUGGUGGCAAAAAUCUCCUGGAGGCAAGCAGCUCCUGCCACAGAGGAGAGAGUAAGUUUAGGUGUCAGCAGUGUGGUAAAACUUUUAGAUCUAGACAAGGGCUUAGGCUACACACCCUGACACACAGUGUUAGAAAUUAUGAGUGUCUAGAAUGUGGAAAGCAAUUUAUUCAAAAGGGUCACCUCACCACACACACCCUGACACACAGUGGUGUUAGAAAUUAUGAGUGUCUGGAAUGUGGAAAGAAAUUUGCCAGGAAGUCUCAUCUCACCACACACACACUGACACACAGUGGUGUUAGAGAUUAUGAGUGUCUGAAAUGUGGAAAGAAAUUUGCAAUAAGUUCUAACCUCACGAAACACACCCUGACACACAGUGGUGUUAGAAAUUAUGAGUGUCUGGAAUGUGGAAAGAAAUUUGCCACAAAGUCUCAUCUCACCAGACACACAGUGACACACAGUGGUGUUGGAGAUUAUGAGUGUCUGAAAUGUGGAAAGAAAUUUACAACAAGGUAUGACCUCACGAAACACACCCUGACACACAGUGGUGUUAGAAAUUAUGAGUGUCUGCAAUGUGGAAAUAAAUUCAUCAGAAGGUCUCACCUCACCACACACACCCUGAGACACAGUGGUGUUAGAAAUUAUGAGUGUGAAGAGUGUGGUAAAAAAUUUACUACAAGUUCUGAGCUCAAUGCACACGCCUUCAGACACACUGGCUUGAGGGAGUUCAAGUGUGAUGUUUGUGGCAAGUGUUUCAAGACAAAGGGUGACAUUGCCAAGCACAUGAGGUUCCACUUUUGAGGUGGUGUGUUGUGUGGACCAGUGGAGUCACACCUGUGCCUGUGGGAGUGUGUGGCGGUGGUGGGCGGUGUGUUGUCUGUGGCGGCAGCUGUGCCCUUGUGUGCUGUGAGGGAGUAAUCAUGUGUCAGUGACUAGUUUUUGUGGGUUGUUCCUUUUCAACUUUGUAUUUAAGGUAAAGACUAACUUAAAAGUUUUGUUAAUGAUGUGUGGUGUUGUGUAGACUGUAAGUGAAGAAAUUAAUAUAUUGUAACCACUCUC